AAGGAAUUUCUGCAAUACGCUACAACAUGAAUGAUUUUGUAGGACAUUACGCUAAGUAAAAUAAGCCAGUCACAGAAAAACAAAUACUGUAUGGUUCUACUUAAAGGAAGCCCAUAGAGUUGUCAAAAUUAGAGAGACAGAAAGUAGAAUGGUGGUCCCCAGCAGCUGCAGAAAGACAGAGUGGGGAAAUUAUUGUUUAAUGGGUACAGAGUUUUCAUUUUACAGGAUGAAGACUUGUGGAUAUGGAUGGUGGUGAUGGUUGCACAACAAUAUCAAUUUAUUUUAUACCACUGAACCGUGCACUUCAAAAUGGUUAAGAUGGUAAGUUUUAUGUUGUGUAUUUUACCAUAAUAAAAAAAAUUGUAGAGGGAAAAACAGUCUGCCUCCACUUUUGAUAUGGGACUGCUAACAUCUUCCACCCUCCCUCUCCCCCUCUGCCCCACAUCUGGGCAAGCUAAGAAAGCCUGCUGCUCUCUCCUCUGGCACCAGCUGGAAAUUCAUACCCAACAAGCCCUAGCCCUCCCACCAGACCCACAUUUCAUCCCCAUCCCCAUCGCAUCCCCAUCCCCAUCCCCAUCCCUAACCACCAUAAAUGCUAAGGGAGUUUCCUUGCCUGGUUUUCUGAAGCCAUUUUUGGACCUGCUUGGGAAUCUGCCCUGCUCUCUCAGAAAGCUUCAUUAUAUGAGCAAUAAACCUUUUCCUACCCUCUUGGUGCAUGUGGUGUAUCAUCAGUCUUGACAUCUAAAACAAAUUUUGGGUGGUGGGGUCCAUGUCUUUGCAGGGUGACCACAAUAGUACCUGGCACAUUAUGUGUUUAAUAAACAGAGAUUACUGUCAUAUUUAUUUUAUUUUAUUUUUUGAGAUGAAAUUUCACUCUUUUUUCCUAGGCUGGGGUGUAGUGGUGCGAUCUUGGCUCACUGCAACCUCCACCUCCCGGGUUCAAGUGAUUCUCCUGCCUCAGCCUCCCAAGGAGCUGAGAUUACAGGCAUGCGCCACCACACCUGGCUAAUUUUGUAUUUUUAGUAGGGAUGGGGUUUCACCAUGUUAGCCAGACUGGUCUCGAACUCCUGACCUCAGAUGAUCCACCCACCUUGACCUCACUUACAGGCGUGAGCCACCGCGCCUUGUCUCUGUUAUAUUUAUUUCUCUAUUUAAAUUGAUGGAUAUAUGCAAACCUGAUCAUUAUCAUACUUAUGCCUAGACACAAGAGAGGCAAUAAACUAAUCUAAGUG
rnacentral:lncRNA from 1 species